ensembl:lncRNA
AUUUGUGAUACAAAAUGGGUCGUUCUGAAGAGCUCAGUGACAUCAAGCAUGGUACUGUGAUAGGAGGCCGCCUUUGAAAUAAGACGGUUUGACCUUCCAGCUGUUUCCACGGAAAUGGUGAACGUGCCAACCCCUGCCCAGCUUGCUGCCCUCAUGAUGCCCUACGGCAUACUGCCCCCGGGGUGCCAGGGGGUGCCACUCGCGCCCCUCUCAGUUCCUCAAAGGCCCAGCGAACACCUCAGCAUGUCAGGAGACGGACCUCCGUUGCCCUACCUACCCCUACACAGCCUCUCUAGACUUCACAGUUGACACCAGCGGAGGCUUUCUGAGUUCCUGUUAAGCCGACCAUCACCCCAGACAAUUGUCUUUCCGCGUCGGAGAGGCAUCCUCGCCCCUGUAGCUGAAGUGCCACUGUGUGUGUGUGUGUGUGUGUGUGUGUGUGUGUGUGUGUGUGUGUGUGUGUGUAUAUACUCUCCCAACUAAAGCAAAUCCUGU